ACAGUGACGCAAUUUGCUCCCCUGCCGCAGCUCGCCUGCCAAGUGGUUUUCUUAAUCAGUUAAUUGGUUGCAUCUGGUGCGUUCCAUUUAAGAGGGAGCCGGACAGUACGUUGGAGUCCUCCACUGUUUGGCAGUGUCGUGUCUCCCAAACGCAGGGCUGUUGUGACUUAUUUGACAUAUCUUCCUGUUUCACAGGUUAAAGACUUUUUGAAGUAAAGAGGAGCAACUCAUCUGAACCUGAUGUCUAUCAUGGAUAUUUAACUGCAGUUCUGUGAGUAUCCCAACUUAACCAAGAAGAUGAACUGCAAACUGUAAGUCAUUAAUUUCUCAUUACUCUUGGGCACAUUGAUGUAUUUUGGCUUCCUGGUGAGUUAACCCGUUACCUGAAGGUUGAUCUGAGUAGUAAGGAUGUUUUAUUGGUUCAUGGGUUACUUAGGUGUUUGGUUUAUGUUGGUUUUAAUGAUUUGUUAAAAUGGUUACAGGCUCAAAGUUAUUGUUGUAAGCUGGAGUAAUGGGUUGGGUUCUGAUAUCUUCAGUCUUCUUUCCAGCUACUCUCCUGAGCUCUGCAUCUUCAUCACAUGAGUGUUGCUCUACUGUGAGGGUGUGGUCUGAGUGAGCAGAGGUGCAUACUGGGAUACAGAGCUGUCUGAAUUCUACAGGUCUGUAGACGCGCCCCCUCAGGGGAAACCGAGUGUUUGAGAAACCGUCGUGACGUCAGUUACAUGGACUAGAAUGUUCUUUAAGAUGGAGACAGGGAUUCAGAAGGAGAAAAACCAGGGGGAGAUGAGGGGGCUCCUCAUCUCAACGACUAAAACACAACUUCAGUCUGACACGGAGAACCAUGGAACACAUUCAACAGUCCCCUCCAGGCAUCGUGACUCCUCAGGAAGAGUUUCAUUUCCAAGAAGGUCUUAUUUGGGGCCAUCCCCAUAUGGAUCCUGCUCCUCAAGAGCCACCCCCCUCCACUGGGUGGUCUUCUGAACAGAUGACCUCCUUCCUGUCCUCAGGCUGACUAAAGCUGCACCGUUUGCAUCUGUGAAGGCCCCUCAUUCAGGAAACCACUGGACUACAAAGACAUGACUUCAGAGACGUUGAAUCAACCUGGAACACAUUUUGAAGACGCCAAGCAUAAUCCAUCACCAAUGUGGGACGCCACUGAAAAAUGUUGCACAUAAUUUACUUCUCUGGAGACAUUGGUUGUUCUGUUCUGGGUGCCCUGGCAGGAGAGCUGGGGUUGGAUGAUGGAACGUUAUUUGGCAUGAGGUUUUUACCCUGCAUGAUUGUUUGACCUUUUAUGGCUCAGUGGUGUGUGUGUGUUUGGGUUUGACAUGAUAUGGAUGAUUUUUGACCAUCGCUAGGGUUCUACUGUGUGUGUCUCCCACUCACAGCUGGCAUGGGGUUCUACGUGCGUGUCCUGGAUUCUAUGUGUGUGUGUGUGUGUCCGGCUUGCUUUGACAGUAAUAAUGUUCAUACGGGGGUCUGUGUGAUUGGCUUGGGAUAUUGGUCAAUUAAAUCAUACCUGAUGGACGGCCACACGUUUACUUAAGGGCCUCCAGUAGACAUGAAGAGCCCAGAGCGACGCUCUGGAGCGAGAUCCAACACACUGGGCAGGAAGGACAGUAUCCAACUCAAGUGUAAAAGGAUGCAAGCGGUGUGUUCAGAUCAGUGACAAACUAGGACUACACCAAUCAGGAUCAAUGGAGGAUGGACACCUAAAGGAAUUCCACAAGGAGAGUCUGACGUUGGAAAGGGACCUAAAUGGAUAUUCAAGAUGACCUUCAGACCUGUAAUGAGACGGCUCUUCCUACCUGGCUGGAUUGAUGGAGAGCCCUGUGGAUCUUGUCUUGCUCUCAGUUGCACGUCUUCUCAGGCUGAACUGUAUUUGUUUCGGACAGGGCUAGCUGAACGAUUGGUUCCCUUAAAUCAGAACCAAUCUGGGAACUCUAACUAGUGCGCUCUUCGAGCUGAAGUUUUGCUCUUCAGCUGAGGAGGUAAGGAAACCUUCACUGGGGUUUCAAGGUGUAAAGAGGAGGAUGUUUCAAAGUGUUCCAUGGUACUCUGAUGAGGACCGUUGUUGUGUUCCACUGGCUGGGAGGAAGAACCCUCACAUCUUCCUCUUGGCCUUUCUCCUCUGAGAAUCCUGGCGCCAUCUUGAAGGAUAUUCCAGCUCAUGCAACUGAUGUCACGACAGAUUCUCAAACACUUGGUUUCUCCUGAGGGGCGUGUCUAUAGAACUGAAGACUUGAGACGGCACUGUAUCCCAGCAUGCAUCUCUGCUCACUCAGACCACACCCCCAUUAGUAGGAUGCAACAUUCUAGGGAUGGAGAUGUAGAGUUUUAUAAAGUAACGAGGGAGCAGACAAAGGUGUUUAGAACACAAUGGCAUGUCAAGUCUGUAAAUCUCUAAACCAUGAAGAUGAUUGGAUAGUUCAGGAAUUGGGCUUCUUAUUAUGAGCAGUCCUUUCGCUCAGAUGCCCACUUCUCACUAGACCUGUACAUGUGUUGGCUGGCUGGCAUGAUUUGCUGUUGGUGAUGAGGCGGUCAGGGUGACGUUGCAGGGCUUAUGGUCGGCUCUCUGUGAGCUCAACGUUUAGAUUUGCUCUGUAUGGUUUGUACCCUGAAUAAUCUAGAUAAUUGUAAAAUGUAGACACGGUUUUGUAUUGAAUGAUUCCAUUGUUCUUAGGCAAGGAUUUGAGGUUUAAAGUUGUUGUGGGACGUACAUGGUAGUUUGGUUCUUUGUACGGUUUUGAGUGAUAUAACAUGUACACACUGGGUGCAUAUUAAUGUAAAGGUACACUGAAUAGUAGCAAUGACCAACAGCAACAAACAGAUCUCCUCAAGGUAAGUCUGUUGGCUGUGUUUUAAUGAAGACCAUCGCUGGACUUCAGGAUCUUCCUCCGUUCAGCUCAAGGUGAGGCGCUGGUUAUGUUUUUUUCUUUGGUUGGUUCCGGCCGGAAUGUUCGGAUUCCGGUCGGACGGUUUGUGCUUCCCGCCGUGGAAGUUUCUGAGUGCGGUCACUUUAUUUAGUCCCAAUGGUUAGCAUAGAACGUUGUAGUCUUGAUAAACAUUAGAAGACACCUGGCAGUUAGUUGGAGCGGAGUCCCCUGAGGGAAUCUGGCGGAACGUUCUGGCUUGUAUUUGCGUAACCUCGAGCCGUUGCCAACGGAAACAAUUUUUCAGUCGGUUUCCAUUGGGAAUUGUUGCCCCUUAUCUUAAACAACUUAAGUUUGAUAUAAAAUAAUAAUAAUAAAUAAUACAUUUAAUUUAAAGGGCGCCUUUCAAGACACCCAAGGUCACCUUACAGAGCAUAAAGUUAUCAUAAAUCGUUUAAAAACAAGACAUUGUGGAAAAAUAAUAAUAAUAGAUAAAUAAAUAAAACAAAAACAAGACAAAACAAACAAUCAAGACAGUGAUCAGUUAGACGUAAAUACAUACUGACACGUACGUCGUACAAUAUCUUGAUAAUUUUCGAUGGUUGCGCCGUACUUCUAACCACGUUGACGGGACUCGCGCUGCGUACGAAACGGCCUUCUACUUGCGGGCCCAUUUUUGACAUCAGUGAAGGCUGUAAAUCAUUUCAAGCUGGAAGACAUUUUGACAGUUCUUCAACGGAACCCAACACCUGAAUAUGGCUGAGUAAAUUUGAUUUAAUAUCGAUACUGCUUAGUGUUUGUUACUUGUGCUUUUGUACGUUCUAAAUAUCUGCGGCCAUUAAUUGCCACAGAAGUUAAACCCUACCCAAUGGAAUGACGUUAAACAACGACUUUGUUGCCGAGUUACCAACUGGAUAAUAUCAAAGCUAAAAUAAUGGCAGUUUUUCUCACAUGUUACAGUAGAAGAUUAUCCAGAACUGUAAAAGGUUAAAAAGGUAACAUGUAGUUUGUCCCAAGGUGUCUGCCUCCUCACCCAGAGCCAGACCUCCACCUCCUCACCCAGAGCCAGACCUCCGCCUCCUCACCCAGAGCCAGACCUCCACCUCCUCCCCCAGAGCCAGACCUCCACCUCCUCACCCAGAGCCAGACCUCCACCUCCUGUCAGAAGUCCUCCAGAACAGCUGAGAGGCGAGGCUGAGAGGCUGGGGACCGUCUUGUGCUGCCAGGAUGGACCGGAGACUGAGGCUGGAGACCAGGGGCCUGCAGCACCGGACCAGAGGGUAACCAUCACCAAGCUCAUCUGAAACACUAAAAUCUACGGUAGUUUAGGUCUGGUUUUGAUCAUCUAAUGACUUUAAAUCUGUGCCAAGCUGUGAUUUGAGUUAAUUCAUACCGGGGUUAUGUAAGAGUCAUAUGAGCCAUUAUUGUUACUAGUGCUGCUACGACCGUAGUGGAUGAAUUACUGAACGCGACAAUCUGCAGACGUUGUCUAAUUUAAGUGUUUAAAUAUGUUUAAAUUUGUCUUCCAUUUUACAAGUGAACCUCAGAUGCAGGAGGUGGGGUGUGUUGCGUCCCCAGGUGAUUUACUGCUGAGACCAACUGUUUGUAACCAGACCAGGAAUCCAUGGCUGAAGGAGCUGAUGGAGGAGCCGUGCUGAUGGAGGAGCCGAGCUGAUGGAGGAGCCCUGCUGAAGGCCCCGCCUGGUGGAGGAGCUGGUGGAGGCCCUGCCUGGUGGAGGACGUCUGUCGUGGGACCAGGACUCUGUCUGAGGAGAGCUGCUGGAGGAGCUGAGACGCUGGAGGACGACUAGGAAUCGACCAACAAGGAUUCCUCAACGUGUUUCUGGAGCGGAGACGUAAGGGCCGGACUUGCGCUGUUUGUUCCAGACCAGGAUUCUGGCUGAGGAGAGCUGAUGGGGGAGCCAAGACUCUGGAGGACGACAUCACUCCACCAACAAGGAUCCUCACCAGGAAUCUGGAGGACUGAUGGAGAAGCCGUACAUCUGGAAGGCAAAUCCUGAGGACCACCAGGACUCUACCAUCAAGGAUUCCUCACACACCUGAGCUGAACCUCACCUGAUCCUGUUUGUCGGGGGCAGACACACCUGAGCUGAACCCCAACUGAACCUGACAUCCUGCUGGUCCCGUCUCCUCAGUUCAUCUGAGCCUCGUCCUCCAGAAGACUUGCUGAGCUCAGCAGAGGCUGAUGUAUCAAUGACCUCCAGUGGGAGUGAUCUUCUUGACCCCACAUGUAACCGUGUGCUUCCACACGCCUUUCCCUCACGUCUGUCACUAACCUCACUACUUCACUACUCUCUACUGCUUCUUCUUCUUCUUCCUUCUCUGUGGUUCGAACCUUUACACGGAAGGCGCGUCUUCCUGCCCUCAGAGGGUUCAGGGUUAGGGUUGAGAGUCAGGGUUUAGAGUCAGGGACAGAGCUGGUCAGGGAGGACUGCUUUAACACAAACCUCUUCACUUGCUUUCGGAAUGGUGGUGACAUUUUGAAAAGAUUAAUUUGGGAAAAUGUUUUCCUCUGCUUCCCUUUACAAAAAUGUAUUAAACUUCUGUCAAGUGCUUUUGUUUAUAUAUUAAAAUUCCACAUUGACUUCUACAUGUUUGGUGCAGUUCAUUUAAUUGUCCUUUAACUUGGUUAAUGUAAAGCUAAACUCCUGCAAUACAUUUAAUAUACAUGAUUGUUAUUCAGCAAUGUUCACAUAAUCCAUUUUGUAAAAAUAUGAAACCUCCAUAUUACUACUAAAUUCAAGCCUAUUCAUGUAUUUAACAAUGUACAUACUGCCCCGCAGGCCAUUCUCUGCUACUACAACACGUUCAAUCCACCAACCCGUCUCGCAUCAAUGUACUACAGCUACGUUG